AGAACGAACGUUGGCGGUGUGCCUAAUACAUGCAAGUCGAGCGAGAAAACCGGGGCAACUCGGUGAGUACAGCGGCGGAAGGGUGCGUAAUACAUGGUUAACGUACCCCCCAGAUCGGGAUAACCCUCCGAAAGGUGGGCUAAUACCGGGUAAUGGCAGCGGGUGGCAUCAUUUGCUGCUUAAAGUCGCAAGACGCUGGGGGAGCGGACCAUGGCCUAUCAGCUAGUUGGCGGGGUAACGGCCCACCAAGGCGAUGACGGGUAGCCGGACUGAGAGGUUGAACGGCCACACGGGAACUGAGACACGGUCCCGACAUCUACGGAUGGCAGCAGUAGGGAAUCUUGCACAAUGGGCGAAAGCCUGAUGCAGCGACACCGCGUGGGGGAUGAAGGCCUUCGGGUUGUAAACCCCUUUCAUGAGGGAAGAACACUGACCUAACCUCAGGAAGAAGCACCGGCUAACUCCGUGCCAGCAGCUGCGGUAAUACGGAGAGUGCAAACGUUGUUCGGAUUCACUGGGCGUAAAGGGCACGUAGGCGGCUCGGCAAAUCGGUCGUGGAAUCCCGACGCUUACCGUCGGAACGGCGGCCGAAAAUACCGGGCUCGAGGGCGUGAGGGGUCACUGGAACUCCUGGUGAAGCGGUGAAAUGCGUAGAUAUCAGGAGGAACGCCGGAGGCGAAAGCGAGUGACUGGCGCGUUCCUGACGCUGAGGUGCGAAAGCUAGGGGAGCAAACAGGAUUAGAUACCCUGGUAGUCCUAGCCGUAAACGAUGGACACUGAGUGAAGGAGGGCUUGCCCUUCUUUGCUGCAGCUAACGCGUUAAGUGUCCCGCCU
rnacentral:rRNA from 1 species